GACGGGGGGGGCAAGUGUUCUUCGGAAUGACUGGGCGUAGAGGGCACGUAGGCGGUGAAUCGGGUUGAAAGUGAAAGUCGCCAAAAAGUGGCGGAAUGCUCUCGAAACCAAUUCACUUGAGUGAGACAGAGGAGAGUGGAAUUUCGUGUGUAGGGGUGAAAUCCGUAGAUCUACGAAGGAACGCCAAAAGCGAAGGCAGCUCUCUGGGUCCCUACCGACGCUGGGGUGCGAAAGCAUGGGGAGCGAACAGG
rnacentral:rRNA from 1 species